AGCAUUUAAGUAGCAUUGUCAACAACCAGUGUUAAUAAUUCCCGGUUUGGUGGCCCCUUCAAUGCAUGCAAGCUUAGCACCUACUCUCUUUUUUAUAGCUCACUUAUUUGUUUUAAUUUCCAUUAUUCAAUAACUUGUUCUGAUAUCAUUAUUCCAGUAUUUUGUCACAUUUUCGAGGUGCAUCCAAAGUCAGUGUGACACCUCAUAUUGGGCAGUGCAGCGACAUUCUACUUUUGUCAUCAAGUGAUAGUUCAUAUCCACAAUAUGCCACAACCAUGCGUAGUUUUUCCCUUUUUUAUUGUGAUCCAGUUAAUAUAUUACUUGUAACUUGUCUUUUUAUUUGAAG
rnacentral:lncRNA from 1 species